ACGAACGCUGGCGGCAUGCCUAACACAUGCAAGUCGAACGAUUGCCUUCGGGUGAUAGUGGCGCACGGGUGCGUAACGCGUGGGAAUCUGCCCUUAGGUUCGGAAUAACAGCUGGAAACGGCUGCUAAUACCGGAUGAUAUCGCGAGAUCAAAGAUUUAUCGCCUGAGGAUGAGCCCGCGUUGGAUUAGGUAGUUGGUGGGGUAAAGGCCUACCAAGCCGACGAUCCAUAGCUGGUCUGAGAGGAUGAUCAGCCACACUGGGGCUGAGACACGGCCCAGACUCCUACGGGAGGCAGCAGUGGGGAAUAUUGGACAAUGGGCGCAAGCCUGAUCCAGCAAUGCCGCGUGAGUGAUGAAGGCCCUAGGGUUGUAAAGCUCUUUUACCCGGGAAGAUAAUGACUGUACCGGGAGAAUAAGCCCCGGCUAACUCCGUG
rnacentral:rRNA from 1 species